AGGAACAAGGAGGUUACUGGGUGGAUGGGGUUUCUCCCGUGGUGUAUGAAAUCACCCAAAUGAUGGCAAGAUGAGAGAUCCUGGAGCAGGCCCCCAAACCCAUAAAGAAUGAGGCCAAGAAACCAGCAGGUGGUGGAGACAGUGACAAAGAGGGAAAAGGACGACCGAGAUGAAGGAGAGUUUGGAUUUGGAGCAUCGCUCGCGUCCUACAAGUCGCCAAGACAGGAGUGAUCCCAGCUCCCCUCCUGGCUCUGUGGGGCCGAGGUCUUGAGGACCGGGAGGAUGCGGCCAAUGGCGCAGCAGAGCUGGCCUUUGAAGAUCCAGAGUCUGACUUUGCAUCCCAUCCCAGCCGCGCACCAAAGCCGCUGAAGCCCCCCAGGCCCCGGGUUCUGCAUCUGUGGAACGGUCUCUGGUGCUGGAUCGUGGGCGCGCACCUAGGCCCCAGCUCUGCCACGAGCGCCCCGGAGGGUGACAGCUGAUGCCUGCGAAGCUCGCCUCUUCUCCCCCUGCCUUGUCUGUCGGGGUCUUCAGUCUGGGACUGAGAAGAGGUCACUCGUGCGGUCCCGCUGCCCCCAGCCCGGGCCUCCACCAGCUGGGCCCGGGGCCAGGCCCUCCCCACAGCCGCCUGCCGGCUUGCUCUGCCGGGGCGGACACCUGCAGGACCGGGCUGGGAAUGUCUCCAGCCACCGACAGGCCCAGUGUCAGUUUCAGGCCCUUCUGGGGUGGGAGGAGGCCCAGGGAGGGGCUGCCAAAGUCAACAUGCCUGUGUCCCUGGGCAGGGACUGGUUUGGCACCUGUGGGCCUGGUUCCAGCCCACAAGCCCGGCCUUGGCCUCUCCUGGGUCACCUAGAGUUCCUGUCCCCCAGCCCUCUGCCUCCUUCGGGUAGCCGGGCCAUUGCUGGGCAGGGCCACUUCCCAUCCCGAGCCCUGGAGAGCUGAGGCCCUAAACCUACCCCUAAGACAGAGACCCCCUGCCCCACGCCUGUGAUCAGGUCACGCCAACACGGACUCUGCUCUCUCCCCGUCUGGCCAGCGCGAUGCUACCAGUCCAGGUAAAAGCCCUGCUCGUUCA